rnacentral:rRNA from 2 species
UACAGAGGGUGCAAGCGUUAUUCGGAAUUAUUGGGCGUAAAGCGCAUGUAGGUGGUUAGAUAAGUCUGAUGUGAAAUCCCCGGACUCAAUUCGGGAAGUGCAUUGGAUACUGUUUGACUAGAGUAUGGGAGAGGUAAGCGGAAUUCCAGGUGUAGAGGUGAAAUUCGUAGAUAUCUGGAGGAACAACAGAGGCGAAGGCGGCUUACUGGACCAUUACUGACACUGAGAUGCGAAAGCGUGGGGAGCAAACAGG